rnacentral:misc_RNA from 1 species
GAAAUGCGAUAAGUAAUGUGAAUUGCAGAAUUCAGUGAAUCAUCGAAUCUUUGAACGCACAUUGCGCCCGCCAGUAUUCUGGCGGGCAUGCCUGUCCGAGCGUCAUUUCAACCAUCAAGCCCCCGGGCUUGUGUUGGGGACCUGCGGCUGCCCGCAGGCCCUGAAAACCAGUGGCGGGCUCGCUGUCACACCGAGCGUAGUAGCAAUCACCUCGCUCAGGGCGUGCUGCGGGUUCCGGCCGUUAAACAGCCUUACAAAACCCAAAGUUGACCUCGGAUCAGGUAGGAAGACCCGCUGAACUUAAGC